CAUGCAAGUCGAGCGGUAAGGCCCUUCGGGGUACACGAGCGGCGAACGGGUGAGUAACACGUGGGUAACCUGCCCUGUACUCUGGGAUAAGCCUUGGAAACGAGGUCUAAUACCGGAUACGACCACUGGACGCAUGUCUGGUGGUGGAAAGUUCCGGCGGUAUGGGAUGGACCCGCGGCCUAUCAGCUUGUUGGUGGGGUAAUGGCCUACCAAGGCGACGACGGGUAGCCGGCCUGAGAGGGUGACCGGCCACACUGGGACUGAGACACGGCCCAGACUCCUACGGGAGGCAGCAGUGGGGAAUAUUGGACAAUGGGGGCAACCCUGAUCCAGCGACGCCGCGUGUGUGAAGAAGGCCUGCGGGUUGUAAAGCACUUUUAGUGGGGAUGAAAAGCUCGGGGCUAAUACCUCCGGGUCUUGACCUAACCCAAAGAAAAAGCACCGGCUAACUCUGUGCCAGCAGCCGCGGUAAUACAGAGGGUGCGAGCGUUAAUCGGAAUUACUGGGCGUAAAGCGUGCGUAGAUGGUUAUGUAAGUCGGAUGUGAAAGCCCCGGGCUCAACCUGGGAAUUGCAUUCGAGACUGCAUAGCUAGGAUGCGGAAGAGGGAAGCGGAAUUUCCGGUGUAGCGGUGAAAUGCGUAGAUAUCGGAAAGGAACACCAGUGGCGAAAGCGGCUUCCUGGUCCAGCAUCGACG
rnacentral:rRNA from 1 species